CGUGUAGGCGGCUUGUUAAGUCGGGUGUGAAAGCCCUCAGCUCAACUGAGGAAGGGCGCCCGAAACUGGCGAGCUUGAGUGUCGGAGAGGAUGGCGGAAUACCCCAAGUAGAGGUGAAAUUCGUAGAUAUGGGGUGGAACACCGGUGGCGAAGGCGGCCAUCUGGACGACAACUGACGCUGAGACGCGAAAGCGUGGGGAGCAAACAGGAUUAGAUACCCUGGUAGUCCACGCCGUAAACGAUGAGAACUAGGUGUCGUGGGUGUUGACCCCUGCGGUGCCGUAGCUAACGCAUUAAGUUCUCCGCCUGGGAAGUACGGUCGCAAGACUAAA
rnacentral:rRNA from 1 species